ACAUAGCUCAUUUGGUAAAGCAUGAGAGUCUUAAUCUCAGGGUCAUGGGUUCAAGUUCCACACUGGGUAAAAUA